rnacentral:rRNA from 1 species
AGGGCAGUCUGGUGCCAGCAGCCGCGGUAAUUCCAGCUCCAAUAGCGUAUAUUAAACUUGUUGCAGUUAAAAAGCUCGUAGUUGAAUUUUAGCGUGUUCGAGUUUGCCAUUCGUUUGGCUUUUUCGAGUUCGCUUUUGGGUUUUCCCUUUUUACUUUGAGAAAAUUAGAGUGUUUCAAGCAGACUUUUGUCUUGAAUACUUCAGCAUGGAAUAAUAGAGUAGGACUUUGGUUCUAUUUUGUUGGUUAUUGAACCUUAGUAAUGGUUAAUAGGAACGGUUGGGG